GAUGAACGCUCGCUAUAGGCUUAACACAUGCAAGUCGAGGGGAAACGGCAUUAUGUGCUUGCACAUUUUGGACGUCGACCGGCGCACGGGUGAGUAUCGCGUAUCCAACCUGCCCUUUACUUGGGGAUACCCCGUUGAAAGACGGCCUAAUACCCGAUGUAAUUCAUUGAUGGCAUCAGAUAUGAAUAAAAGAUUUAUCGGUAAAGGAUGGGGAUGCGUCUGAUUAGCUUGUUGGUGAGGUAACGGCUCACCGAGGCGACGAUCAGUAGGGGUUCUGAGAGGAAGGUCCCCCACAUUGGAACUGAGACACGGUCCAAACUCCUACGGGAGGCAGCAGUGAGGAAUAUUGGUCAAUGGGCGCAAGCCUGAACCAGCCAAGUAGCGUGCAGGAAGACGGCCCUAUGGGUUGUAAACUGCUUUUAUACGAGAAUAAUUUGAUGCACGUGUGCGUUAUUGCAUGUAUCGUAUGAAUAAGGACCGGCUAAUUCCGUG
rnacentral:rRNA from 1 species